GAUGAACGCUGGCGGCGUGCCUAAUACAUGCAAGUCGAGCAAACGGACGAGAAGCUUGCUUCUCUGAUGUUAGCGGCGGACGGGUGAGUAACACGUGGAUAACCUACCUAUAAGACUGGGAUAACUUCGGGAAACCGGAGCUAGUACCGGAUAAUAUUUUGAACCGCAUGGUUCAAAAGUGAAAGACGGUCUUGCUGUCACUUAUAGAUGGAUCCGCGCUGCAUUAGCUAGUUGGUAAGGUAACGGCUUACCAAGGCAACGAUGCAUAGCCGACCUGAGAGGGUGAUCGGCCACACUGGAACUGAGACACGGUCCAGACUCCUACGGGAGGCAGCAGUAGGGAAUCUUCCGCAAUGGGCGAAAGCCUGACGGAGCAACGCCGCGUGAGUGAUGAAGGUCUUCGGAUCGUAAAACUCUGUUAUUAGGGAAGAACAUAUGUGUAAGUAACUGUGCACAUCUUGACGGUACCUAAUCAGAAAGCCACGGCUAACUACGUG
rnacentral:rRNA from 1 species